rnacentral:rRNA from 1 species
UGAGGAAUAUUGGUCAAUGGACGCAAGUCUGAACCAGCCACGUAGCGUGCAGGAUGACGGCCCUAUGGGUUGUAAACUGCUUUUAUAUGGGGAUAAAGUGGGGAACGUGUUCCCUUUUGCAGGUACCAUAUGAAUAAGGACCGGCUAAUUCCGUGCCAGCAGCCGCGGUAAUACGGAAGGUUCGGGCGUUAUCCGGUUUUAUUGGGUUUAAAGGGUGCGUAGGUGGUCAUUCAAGUCGGUGGUUAAAGGCUACGGCUCAACCGUAGUUAGGCUCCGAAACUGGAAGACUUGAGUGCAGGAGAGGAAAGUGGAAUUCCCAGUGUAGCGAUGAAAUGCGUAGAUAUGGGGAGGAACACCAGUAGCGAAGGCGGCUUUCUGGACUGCAACUGACACUGCGGCACGAAAGCGUGGGUAGCAAACAGG